AUUACCGAGUUACAACUCCCAAACCCAAUGUGAACCAUACCAAACUGUUGCCUCGGCGGGGUCACGCCCCGGGUGCGUCGCAGCCCCGGAACCAGGCGCCCGCCGGAGGGACCAACCAAACUCUUUCUGUAGUCCCCUCGCGGACGUUAUUUCUUACAGCUCUGAGCAAAAAUUCAAAAUGAAUCAAAACUUUCAACAACGGAUCUCUUGGUUCUGGCAUCGAUGAAGAACGCAGCGAAAUGCGAUAAGUAAUGUGAAUUGCAGAAUUCAGUGAAUCAUCGAAUCUUUGAACGCACAUUGCGCCCGCCAGUAUUCUGGCGGGCAUGCCUGUCCGAGCGUCAUUUCAACCCUCGAACCCCUCCGGGGGGUCGGCGUUGGGGACUUCGGGAACCCCUAAGACGGGAUCCCGGCCCCGAAAUACAGUGGCGGUCUCGCCGCAGCCUCUCCUGCGCAGUAGUUUGCACAACUCGCACCGGGAGCGCGGCGCGUCCACGUCCGUAAAACACCCAACUUCUGAAAGUUGACCUCGGAUCAGGUAGGAAUACCC
rnacentral:rRNA from 1 species